UGGAAGGCGACGAAGGAGACUAGCGCGCCGGAUCUGCGACGAGGGUUCUUCACUGCCCUAGCGUGCAGCUUCUUGAUUGAGCGAUUCCACCCAUGACAACUGCCCCUCGUGCCAUAUCCUCCGGCGAUGGUGAAGCCGCCGGCGAUGGAGAUGCCGCUGGACAACGACGUCGUCGUUCCCAACCAAUGGUGGACGCCGAUGUAUUGCAGACGAACAAUUGAUUCCUGACGCAAGCGACAGUGUGUUCCCCUUGACUGGUGAGAUGUGGACUGUAAUCAUCCAAUGCAAGAACGACGAAGGAGAUCGCUUUGUCCAAGCUAGACUUGACAGGUGACAUAUCAUACUUUAACUUGGUAAAUUUCAAAGAACAGCUUGGUUAUGGUAUGGCGGACUUCUUGCACUACAAGAAGAGAUGUGCACAUGCUGAAGCCAAUCUUAAGAUAAUUAAUUAUAGAAGAUAUGUUGAGGAUAUGCUUCAGUGCUCCGCUUCCGAAAGGAAAAUCAGGAUGGUGCUUACAAAAGAUCGAGAACAAGACCAACCUGUAAACAUUAUACCCCAAAAACGACUGAGGGAGAGUGAGUCUAAUGAUGAGUCUGAUCACGAGUCUGAUGAUAAAGAUGGGGUCAUGCAGAUUCUGGAUUUGUUAAUGCAGACAAAGGUUGCUCCAAAGCAAAGGCACUGCUACAGGUAUAAAUUUGUUACAGAUCUAAAAGACGAAUACCGGGACGACACAAUAACAACAUACACUGAAUGGUUAAGGGAUUGUGGCUUUCUAAAAGACAUUAGUAACUCAUUUUUCCUUUGGGCAUAUUUACUUUGUAGUACACAUUAUGAUUCUACUAAUGCCACAUAUUUUCAUUCUUUCAUUGUCUUAUAACAAUGGUGAUGACGAAUAUGGUGAGAGCAAUGGCAGUAGUGCAACCACACCAACAGAAUGGCCAGCUCAUGCUAGGAAAAUGAAGAAGACAACAGGUGACAAGAAAGUUGGUCGUGGUACCUUGAAAGGGCUAGCUGCAAUGGCAAAGAGGCUGAAGGCUUGCACUCAAAAACUUAAAAUUGAGUUUUCUGGCAAUCUAGGUGGUCCCUGUGGUGAUGAUAGAUGUACAUUUGUGGAUGAAGUGGUUAUGUACACAAGGUUAAAUACUCCUCUAAUUGGUGUGAAGCAUUGGAAAGAUGUGAGCAAAGAUGUCAAGUUUGCAAUCGCGGAAUCUGUGAUGGAAAAUUAGAGGAUGGAUAUGCCAAGUGAUGAUGCUAAGGAAAAGAUAUGGAAGAUUGCCCAAGAGCGCUACAAAGAAGAUUAGCAGCCAGAACUCAUCCAAUCGUCAACAAAUAAAAACCAUGCAUGUUAUGGAUUCAAAACCUUUCUCAGUGUAGUUGGGAAAAGAGAGAUCUAGAAACAGGUGUUGAGCCAGAUCUUUUGGAAUUGUUUAAGACUACUCACAUGAAGAGAGGAAGAUGGUCAAAUGAGAUGUCUGAGAGUAUUUAGCAGAAUAAUGCAGCCACGAAGUUGUCUAUGUCUGAAUCUGAUGAAUUGGGUCAAGAAGAAUCGACACCUAUCACUGCUAAAGAAAACCUUGUUUUCUAGGAUACCUACAAGAAAACAACAGGAGCAAAACCGACCAAGUCACGUGGGUAUGGCUACAUGUCCAAGCCAAAUAAAAACCAAUUGCUUUAGGAGAGAGUCCAAGAACAAGAACUUGAGCUUCUGCGAUUAAAAGAGCAGCUAGCAAAGCAAGCUGCUAAGAGAUAAGCAGAGAAGGAACAACUCAGAUACUCAAUUAAAGAUUCACUCAUGCUAGAGUUGAAAGCAAUGAUGGCUCAGAAUGUUGCCCUUGAAACUGCUGCCCCUCAGACCAAUAGUGCAACAAAGAAUGAAGUUGCUAUCUCUGAAAAGAACCAUAUAACAAAUAAUGGACAUAUGAGCAAUUGAAUGUUCAAACACCAAACCCAGAUCCUCAGGACACAAAAGCUUUAGUAGGGAAAUAAGAGUCCGAAUUGCUUAGCCCUUCAAAGUGGUCUACAAUAUGGAAUUGGGUAUACAAAUUCAUCUUCAAAGUCUGUGUUGAAGCAACAUUUCUAGUUUGUAAUAUCAUAUUUGUUGAAUUUUGUUAUCUGAAGGAUACUAGUUGUCGACAUUUGAUAUCGGCAAUAAACUUAUAGGGUGGCUACCAAGUUCGGAAUUCGAUGGUUAAUGAUGAAGAGGGACAAAGUUUACCCA